CUGCAUCCACUGACAGUCCUUGAACAAUCUAAUAUUCUUUUGGUUUGUACUAGGAUGCAAAAGAAAAAACUGCCUGCGCUUUCUGUCUGUCUUUGUGGCAGCCCAGAUUGAACAGGGGACUACAUCU